CCAAAUACGCCAACCCCGGGAGGUCACUCUCCCCCGGCUCUGUCCUAGUGGUGUGUGGGAGCAUAGGGCGCCGCCCAAUGAUGUACAGUCCCUUUCCACAAUGUUGGAGAAGAAGCUGGGCUUUGAGUCUGCGUCUGCAUAUUCCUACAACUUCUCAGAGUCCUGUGGACGAUGACUGAGGAGACAAACCAUGCAGGAAACAGUC